rnacentral:rRNA from 1 species
GGCUAAAACAGUCAGGAUGUUGGCUUAGAAGCAGCCAUCAUUUAAAGAAAGCGUAAUAGCUCACUGAUCGAGUCGUCCUGCGCGGAAGAUGUAACGGGGCUAAGCCAGUCACCGAAGCUGCGGAUAUGCAGUAAUGCAUAUGGUAGGAGAGCGUUCUGUAAGCCUGCGAAGGUGUCUUGUAAAGGAUGCUGGAGGUAUCAGAAGUGCGAAUGCUGACAUGAGUAGCGAUAAUGGGGGUGAAAAGCCCCCACGCCGUAAGCCCAAGGUUUCCUGUUCAACGUUCAUCGGAGCAGGGUGAGUCGGCCCCUAAGGCGAGGCAGAGAUGCGUAGCUGAUGGGAAGCAGGUUAAUAUUCCUGCACCGUCGUAUGAUGCGAUGGGGGGACGGAUCGCGGAAGGUUGUCCAACUGUUGGAAUAGUUGGUUUCUGGUUCAGAGAAGGCACUUAGGCAAAUCCGGGUGCGUAAUUCAAGGGACUGGGACGAGCGCCUUUAUGGUGCGAAGCAAUCGGAAGUGGUUCCAAGAAAAGCCUCUAAGCUUCAGUCAUACGAGACCGUACCGCAAACCGACACAGGUGGGCGAGAUGAGUAUUCUAAGGCGCUUGAGAGAACUCGGGAGAAGGAAC